UACGUAGGGCGCGAGCGUUGUCCGGAAUUAUUGGGCGUAAAGAGCUCGUAGGCGGCUUGUCACGUCGGGUGUGAAAGCCCGGGGCUUAACCCCGGGUCUGCAUUCGAUACGGGCUAGCUAGAGUGUGGUAGGGGAGAUCGGAAUUCCUGGUGUAGCGGUGAAAUGCGCAGAUAUCUGGAGGAACACCGGUGGCGAAGGCGGCAUCCUGGACCGGUAUUGACGCUGAGGCGCGAAAGCCAGGGGAGCAAAGCGGG
rnacentral:rRNA from 1 species